GAUGAAGAUGCUAAGUGUCCUCUCCUCAAGAGAAAGUCUGCUGAUGCUGUGGUGGAUAAGUUAAAUGAAGUGGAUAGUUCUGAAAAUUCAUGUGAUAAAGUUGAUGAAAGUGAAGAGGAGUAUGUGGUUGGCGUUAAUCGAGGCUCUGUUGAUGCUGAGAAAGAUGUGAAGCCUUCGUUGAAGAGGUUGAGAAGAUCUUUGAGGCUGCAAUUUGAUGAAGCUAAUGAGUCUUGUGGCUCUGGGAAUGACGGCUCCUCUGGACAUAGGGUUAAUUGAGGUGGCUGCCCAUGGCAGUUAACUAGAGCUACUGAUUAGGACUAAUCUAGGGCAUUAGGUAAUUUGGUUGUGUCCAUGUAAUAGCAUUUGAUGCAUUAGAUUGUAGUGGAU